rnacentral:rRNA from 1 species
GUCGAGCGGUAAGGCCUUUCGGGGUACACGAGCGGCGAACGGGUGAGUAACACGUGGGUGAUCUGCCCUGCACUCUGGGAUAAGCUUGGGAAACUGGGUCUAAUACCGGAUAUGACCACAGCAUGCAUGUGUUGUGGUGGAAAGAUUUAUCGGUGCAGGAUGGGCCCGCGGCCUAUCAGCUUGUUGGUGGGGUAAUGGCCUACCAAGGCGACGACGGGUAGCCGACCUGAGAGGGUGACCGGCCACACUGGGACUGAGACACGGCCCAGACUCCUACGGGAGGCAGCAGUGGGGAAUAUUGCACAAUGGGCGGAAGCCUGAUGCAGCGACGCCGCGUGAGGGAUGAAGGCCUUCGGGUUGUAAACCUCUUUCAGCAGGGACGAAGCGUGAGUGACGGUACCUGCAGAAGAAGCACCG